rnacentral:tRNA from 1 species
GGGGUGGUGGCGCAGUUGGGAGCGCGUUAGACUGAAGCUACAAACUUCAGCCGUUCUCCGUACGGAGAAAGUCAUCUAAAGGUCACUGGUUCAAUCCCUGUUCACCCCA